UGCCGGAUAGACAAAUUGGUAACGUCGCCUGUCUCUGAAACAGGAGUUUUGUAGGUUCGAGUCCUACUCCGGCAGCCA
rnacentral:tRNA from 1 species